AACUACUGGAAGCAUUGGACAGCAACCCGCCCAUAGUCGAGCCCUGUCCUCACUAACCCUUCCAGAAGCUACCAACUCUAUCAGAAAGAAGAGAACUCACUGACCCAUUAUCUCCUCUCUCUCUCUCUCUCUCUCCUGCAAUCUCUGUGAAGUUUUAAGGGGGGGAGAAAAAUGAGUAGCCGAUCGAGUCGCACUAUCUACGUCGGCAAUCUGCCUGGGGAUAUUCGUAUGAGAGAAAUUGAAGAUUUGUUCAUGAAGUACGGGCCCAUCGUCGACAUUGAUCUCAAAGUCCCGCCGAGACCACCGGGUUAUGCUUUUAUUGAGUUUGAAGAUGCUCGAGAUGCUGAUGAUGCAAUUUAUGGCCGGGAUGGGUACAACUUUGAUGGGUAUCGUUUACGGGUUGAACUAGCGCAUGGUGGACGAGGACACUCAUCAUCAAUGGAUCGAUACAGCAGUUACAGUCAUAGUAGCAGUAGCCGUGGAGCUUCCCGUCGCUCUGACUAUCGUGUACUGGUCACUGGAUUGCCUCCUUCUGCUUCAUGGCAGGAUCUGAAAGACCACAUGCGUCGAGCUGGUGAUGUCUGUUUCUCCCAAGUGUUCCGUGAUCGGGGUGGCAUGACGGGAAUUGCAGACUACACAAACUAUGACGAUAUGAGAUAUGCUAUCCGGAAACUUGAUGACUCUGAAUUCAAAAAUGCUUUUUCUCGGGCUUACAUACGGGUGAAGGAAUAUGAUUCUAGACGUAGCUAUUCCAGAAGCCCUAGUUAUGACAUGAGACGGAGCUACUCUAGAAGCCCCAGUCGUAGUCCAUAUAUGUCGAGAAGUCAAAGCCGCAGUCGCAGCUAUAGCUAUGGUGGCCGAAUCAGAAGCAUAUCACCGGAGGCAAAAUAUUUGCACCGCUCUCCAUCUGCAUCUUAUCCAAGGUCUGUCUCACGUUCCCGUGCAAGAUCUGGCUUUUGCGGAGAUCUGGGGAUUGGAUGUUAGGAACUUGAUGGGAUGUGGUGCUCAUGCCUGCAACUCUUAGUUGAGGUAACGCCACUUUAUUGAUGAGCACCUCUGAAAACAUAGUCUCAAUGGAAGUAAUUCUAAUGAGUUUGAAUUCUAAAGUUGGAUUUAUGUUGGACACGUGCAAUAGCUACCAAAAACCACAAAUCAGCAGUGCGGACACAUAAAGCUCAAAACUACUACAUUCACUAACUUGCGAUAAGGAUGAGUGGAUUUUCUCCUCCUCUCAUCUAGGAUUAGAUGUUCGAUGCUGGUAUUUUAAUUUCUUACUACAUUGGUUGUUUUAUAUUUCUAAGAUCUGCCGGAAAGAUCAUGGGAUGCUGGGUGUAGAGCAUCUGGGCUAAAGGUUUAUAAUUUUUACUGUUUUCUUCCCGUCUAAUUAUGGUAAGUCUGCCCUUGAAAGUGGUGUCAGGGCCUUUGGGUCCAAAGUAGAGAAUAAUGCCGUUGAAUAUUGAUUUGGGUUAUUGGAAAUUAUUGCAGAUCUCGGACAAGAUCUAGGUCUCCAGUUUCUUCUGCUCGUCCCAGGAGUCUGAGCAGAUCCAAGUCAAGAUCCAGAAGCUUAUCCCGGUCGCUUUCACCUUCUGCACGGUGAGAUCUAAACGAAGCCACGCCGUUGACUCCAGAGAUAGCGCUAUGAAGUACAACUUUCUAGUGCGUUUUCUUUGGGGACACGAUAGGGAAAUCAGUAACUCGAUGUAGUGUUCUAGACAUUUUGAUUAGGACCUUCAUUGGAUGGUCUAGUAUUGCGUCUAUGAAGUGGUUAGUUUGAAGAUAAUAUGAUGUAUUAAAUUAAACCAUUUUACUUUUUGCUUUUGAAGUGAGAUAUAUGCAGCGCUUGCGGUUGAUGUUCA